rnacentral:lncRNA from 1 species
GGGAGGAGGAUGGUCAUGAGGUCCCGGUCGCAGUGCGGCGGCAGGCCCAGCGUCCUGCUCGGGUCCGGGCACGGCGGGUAGUAGUUGAUGUCGACGACGACGCGGCCGCCGCUGAUGUCGCCGACGAAGAAGUCGGGGCGGAGGCCCAGGCCCUCGCACAGCAGCUGCAGGAUCUCCAUGGCCAGGCCUCUUGCCAGCCCAGUGUAGUUCCCAACAACCUCCCUGAGCCUCUGCGGCUUGUGGGGCCAGCCCGAGGUGUCGCCGGAGGGCAGGGGGUACAGGAGCUCGAGGACGUCAGCCAGUACUUCUCGCCGAGGGUCUCGAAGCUGGAGCCCGAGAAGAGCCUGUUGCGAAUGCUCUCGUCUUCAGAGUAAAACUCAGCCUUGUCCUCCGCGGGCAUCUGGAAGAACUCGUGGCACACCGCCUCCAUGUCCCGCAUCGCCUGCUCAGAGAUGCUAUGGUUCACCACCUGCAUGCAAAUGCAAUAUAAUUCAGCACGCACGUUCUGGUCAAUUCUGAUAUAUACUGCAGAUAUUUGGGAUGGGAUUGGGAUUAAUUGGUUAUAUUGUUGAGAUCGAUCUCGAUCGAUCGAUCGAGCAACUCGCCUGGAUGAGGCAGUACUCCUUGCCGGAGCCCGGAGUCGAGGAUGGCGCGGCGGACCUCGUCGCGGUCGCAGGACAUGUCGACGACGGGUAGGGAGACAGCGGCGGUGGCUGGGCGGAGUUGAUCGGCCGGCAAGAGGAAGCAGUCCGGGAUCGAUGGCGCGUGCACCGGGGUCAGGUUCAGCGUGCUCGCCAUGGAUGACAGAUCGGAGGAGCUUGCUUGCUAGAGGUGCUCGAUCGAAUUGCUCGCUCGUGUUCUGAUCCGAUCAUUUCGCCGCUCCGGCGAGCCGUGUUUUGUAGGCGUGGCCGCGGAGUGGGACGACGAUGCUCCGGGCAGCAAGAAGCAUGCGAGCGCGCGCGCGCGCGAGAGAGAGAGAGAGAGAGAGAGAGUUGCCGCAUAAAUCCUCGUCGUGUAUGGGAGCCGGCAGCAGGUCGGCUGUCCUUGUCGGAUUUUGCUACGUACCAGUUGAUACACGCAGUUUGAAAUGGAAAGCUAGUUAUAUUCUACGACCUUGUUCAAUUUAUUAGCUACCUUACCAACCUUGUUUGAUAUUUCAGAGCAGGUAAAUAUUUUGACAAUGGAACAGAAAAUAUGCAUAAGGAUAAUCCAUACAUGUGCUUCUUCAUUGUUGUAAUGUUGUUGCAUGCAUGCAUCCAAUUUAAAACUAGAAAUUGUUUUGCGUGCAUGUCUUGUGCGUUAAUCAGUAUAUCAGCAAGCCGUAAAUAAUUUAUAAAUUUGUUUAUUACUCCCUCUGUAUUUUUACAUGACAUAUUUGAUUUGUCCUUAGUCAAACUUAUCAAUUUUGACCAAAUUUACGGAAAAAUAUAACAUCGAUACUAUCAAAUAUAUGUAAUUUCAAAAUAUAUUUCAUAGUGAAUUCAAUGAAACAAAUUUGAUAUUGUAGAUUUAUUAUAUUCUCCAUACCGAUCCCGGGACAAUAUCAUCCGCUCUUAGUGCGACAGCGGCUCAUCAUGGCUUGUGACACCCGACCCAAAUUGGAUAUGGCCCAGUAGUGGCCCAUGAGCACAGAUGCACACGUUUAGUACCACCUUGCUAGUUGAGCAAGGGUAUCAGGUUAACCCUUUUACACGAAGCGAGGACGAAAGUGUAACUAGGGUGCUAUGUCUAUGCGUGCCCACCACUCGGAAGGGCUGGACAGUGCGGCUUUGGCCUGCCCUCGCAGUUGCGUGUACAAGUCAGUGUGUGGCCAUAUGGUGCAUAGCGCGUGUGGGCCCGGAGGGGACACACAACAUGGCAUAUGGCACCGGCACUUUAUGUACGGUCGUGCGCUAAGAGGGACCUUUCCUGCAUAUUUGACCAUGUGUAGGUGAGUUGAACCGACGAGGUCGUCUUGUCCUUUGAGGAGGGUGUAUGUGACACCGUGUUGAUGGUUGUUAGCAUGCCAAUUGUGAACUGCAAGCGCACGGAUAUGUUAUAGUUCUAUCCUCAGAGUACUCCCCCAAGGUUUAACAAUCCGUGGAACUCAUAGCAAUAGAUCUAUUUUAACUAGCAUUGUUAGUAGAACUUAGUUGUUUAUGAGAGAUUGAGAUCUAAUCUACUAGGUAUGUACAGACAGAUAACAGAUAGAGCAGAGGUAACCAAUCUAGAGUAACCUAGACUAUGCAUGUUGUAAUUCCGAGCAUAGAUAGCAAAGCAACAUAGAUCGAUCUUAGUAAAAAGCAUAUUUAAAUCUACACCUUCGGUCUAGCUCCCGAAAACCCUACCUUAUACAAGAAAGACUCCGUCACCAUCAUCUCUAUCAGCGUAGGUAGAUUAAGGGCACGAUCAAAAGAACAUGUCAUACUCAUCGGUAGGUCAGGCAUGCAAAUUUGGUCACCAUGACCACAAGAACAUCCUAAGAAAUUUAUCAUCGAUUCAUACAUUAAAAAAUAGCAAACCCGAUAGAGCAUAAAAUCAUAGAAGAAGAUACUUAGAUAGUUGAGAAAAUGAAUAGAUCUAUUACUUCACCAUGAAUGAUUGUACAUAACAAGAACACCACCGGGAUCCUACCUUGAUCUUGAUGACUCCUAGCUCCAAAACUCCAGCGUGAUCUUCCUCGCAGGGUGAUCGCGCUGGCAGAGGCUCGCCUACACUAACCCCUGACAACUGCACGGCCAUCGACUCUCCGAAGUGGUGUCCCUUAAGCUCCUUCUGCUUCUCUACUGCUUCACGCCGUGUACCUCAACUUCCCCUUGGUGCUCGGUAGUUUUGGGGGUAUUUAUAGUCUAGAGGGCACGUGGUAAAAAUUGGAAGGCGAUGGGGCGAAGGAAACCCCAAGGUCGAUUGGCCACGGAGGGUCCAGGCCGAUCGUCCUGGACCUUCCUUUUGCCCUCUCACGCUCUGCUUUGUCCCCAAGUCUACCUGGAUACUCUGGAGUCUUCUUUUCACUUGCAUGUGGGCCUGGCACAUCAGUAGCUUCGGGGAGAGAUUGAUCUUCAUUGACUUUCCAUAUCUUCACUUGAUCCUCUUUGAUUCAUCCUUGAUCCCAAAGUAGUCCUUGCCAUAUCUUCAAAUUCUUAACCCCUAAGUCACCUCGGAGGAUUGCUUCCCAAAGUUGAGCAUCAGGGGAGGCCAGGGAGCCCUGGCCCGAUCGGCCCAGGCCCUUUCUGGGCCCUUUGGUUCUCGUUUUCAUCUGGCUCGUUGCUCACUUCAGGCUUUAUCCAAAAAUGUUACUUUAGGUCCAAUUUCUUGUAAAAAUAGAAUAUCAUCCAAAAUGCAAAGCACGAGUGAAAAUAACCGGUUUAUUAGGUAUGAUCAAUAGUUUAAGGAUUAAAUUCAUGUCAUUAUUGAAAGGAGAUAGAAAUAAAUGGGGGAGCAAGGAGAGAGGGAGAGGCACUGACAUAUGGGUCCGGGACAUGUAGGAUUGAUGACGUGUGCAUUAUGUGUCACCACGUCGGCCAAAACCAAAGUGCAUUUGGGUCAAGGUGGUCCCCUGUCUGAUUUCAUAAGUACGAGGAGUUAGAAUAUACGGUUUCUCGAGUAGAGGGAAAAAACAUGAACUCAACCCAUAAUCAAGGAAGGUGAAUAGGACCUUUUUCCUUUUUCUUUUGUCGACCAGGCCCACCAGCUCCUUGCCCUGCGGCCUGUUUGCCAUCCCUAGCCCUAAUGGUCACCCAACCCAUGUGGCUGAUUCCUCUUUCCUGUCCUCCCUUCCUCGACAUGAUGACAUGACACACCCAGGUGCCGUGCAACACCUGUUGCUGCAGCAAUGGCGAUGAGAGCACGUCCAGAGAGACGAGAACCACCAUUCAUCCCUGCGCCCUACAUCCUCGCUGUCGUCCAGGAACACGGCUUGUCCACCCAACUUGACACCCAUGCGCCAGGCCACCAUAAUCACCCAAAAAUCCCAUGGUAACAUGCCUAUAGACAAAUGGCAAAUAAAGAGUUCAAUGAACUCACCCUUCAUGAGAAAAAAAGAUAAAAAUAUAUAAGUGGAUAUAAGUAUUUUAUACGUGUGAUUGGAUAUCUUUAGUCGGUCGUGAUCCUUCAUAUUUAUUGGGAGGUCUUGACUUAUUUAGAGUCCGUAUAUAUUAUGAAAUACGUUUUAAAUCGACUAGCUUUUUUUCUUAGAGUAUUAUGUCCAAGAUCUUGUUUUUUUCUUGAUGAGCCGCUUUCCCUCAUUCUACUCGUCCAGCCCUCUCCACGAACUUGUACAAUCAAUGCCACCACUUCUUUGAAAGCAUGAUUCUGGUGUCCCUCUCUUCGCACUACUUGGAGCUCAACCAUUUAUCAAUUUGUAGAACCCCUCUUAGGCUCAGCAGGCCAUCUAGAAUGCCUGCGCAAGCAAUAAGGCAAGAGGAAAUAAUCACAUGGGGGUGGGAAAAGGAUUAGGGAAAGAAGAUAAAAAGUGUUUGAUACGUGUGAUUGAAUACCUUUUAGUCGGUCAUGAUCCUUCAUAUUUAUUGGGUGGGAGGUCUUGCCUUAUCUAGAGUCCGUAUAUAUGCGCUUUAAAUUGAACAAAAUCUGCCAAGAGAAAACUGGGUGCCCGAGUUUUGUAAAACCGGUCGGUACGGUUUUUUGGAAUAAUCUCCCAUUAUCAUAACUUUGUCAUCCAGACUCCAAACUAGAUGAAGCCGACUUCAGAGUAUCACACACACACAUAUAUAAAGUGAAUUAAACUUGGAGCUAUGGAUGAAUGUUUAGAAGCCUAGCUGCUGCGCACUUGUACCCAAGUCGUCCUUUUAAAGUUGGGUUAGUUGGUCAUGUUAGUUAAGCUUUGGAGCCACUGUACAGUCACUGAGUUGGCCAAAGUAGUCUGAACUAGAACCAUAUGUGUGUGUGUGUGUGUGUGUGUGUGUGUGUGUGUGUGUGUGUGUGUGUGUGUGUGUGUGUUGUUUCGCCGUAAAAAAGGAAUGUAAGUACAUAUGUGACAAUAAACUCAUUUUGUUAAUUCGUGUUUAUUUGUUCAAACACCUUUACUGUUAUACCUCAAACAGUACUACAGUAGCAUGACAACAUAUUACCACAUCUCAUCAGCCGCAGCUAGAUGUAACUGAGACGACCCAUCCGCCAAUGCAACGCCACCUCAGAGGCAUGGGAACUUGGCAUGACAAGAGAAAGACUUGCGGUUUUGCUUCAUCAUAUACCCUUCUGGUUGUUCUUGAGGUUAGUGAUCUGGUUGAGCGAGGACCCCAGAUUGACAACGUUGUGCAUGCGCUUGAAGUCGCGGACCCUCAUGGUGCGGUAGCGCGGUGGGUUGUCCUCGCCGACGAACUCCUCCGCAGGGCCGACGACGCAGUCGUCCGCCGGCACGAUGAACGUCGCCACCGACAUCCGCGGCUCCGCCGAGUUGGUGGCCGCGCGGUGCUCCACGCUCUUCAGCAUCCCGUUGGUCACAACCUGCGCGUAUACGUACGUGCAAAGAAAGAACAACCGAUCAGCAAGGCAGCAAUAAGCUGAAUGAUGAACAAUUUGCAUUGAAGCAAAGGUGGUCUUACUAAAAAAUUAAAGCUGAAUGAUCAGUUACCUCGAGCUGCAGGCCGAAGUUGACGACGAAGGAGUUGGGGACUGGCUGGACCUUGAUCCAGUCGCCCUCGUAGGCGACCUCGAGGCCGGGGACAGCGCCGGGGAGGAGAACGGUGAUGAGGUCCCGGUCGCAGUGCGGCGGCAGGCCCAGCGUCCUGCUCGGGUCCGGGCACGGCGGGUAGCUGUUGAUGUCGAGGGCCACGCGGCCGCCGCUGAUGUCCCCGACGAAGUAGUCGGGGCGGAGGCCCAGGCCCUCGCACAGCAGCUGCAGGAUCUCCAUGGCCAGGCCUCUUGCCAGCCCGGUGUAGUUCCC